rnacentral:tRNA from 1 species
GCCUGGCUGGCUCAGUUGUUAGAGCAUGUGACUUUUGAUCUCGGGGUUGUGAAUUCAAGCCCCACGUUGGGUG